rnacentral:rRNA from 1 species
ACGGGAGGCAGCAGUGGGGAAUAUUGGACAAUGGGGGAAGCCCUGAUCCAGCGACGCCGCGUGAGUGAAGAAGUAUUUCGGUAUGUAAAGCUCUAUCAGCAGGGAAGAUAAUGACGGUACCUGACUAAGAAGCUCCGGCUAAAUACGUGCCAGCAGCCGCGGUAAUACGUAUGGUGCAAGCGUUAUCCGGAUUUACUGGGUGUAAAGGGAGCGUAGACGGCUGUGUAAGUCUGAAGUGAAAGCCCCGGGCUCAACCCGGGAACUGCUUUGGAAACUAUAUAGCUAGAGUGCAGGAGAGGUAAGUGGAAUUCCUAGUGUAGCGGUGAAAUGCUUAGAUAUUAGGAGGAACACCAGUGGCGAAGGCGGCUUACUGGACUGUAACUGACGUUGAGGCUCGAAAGCGUGGGGAGCAAACAGGAUUAGAUACCCUGGUA